UCAGCCCACAACUCACUGAAAACCUCUCCUCUGGUUUCACAAAUAUUGUGGAGCACACAGGCUGUCACUAAAAGGCUGUUAUGUUUCCUGACUCCAACUCAAGCCUGCAGUUCAGCACCCUCCACUGUGCUUUGAGGCAGUCAAAGGCACAUUCAACAACCAAUCUGCAUUUGCUGAGAUGGUAGUUAAAAGCCAUCUUCUGUGGGUGAGAGAGAGAGCCAGGCAGCU